UUAAGCGACUAAGCGUACACGGUGGAUGCCCUGGCAGUCAGAGGCGAUGAAGGACGUGCUAAUCUGCGAUAAGCGUCGGUAAGGUGAUAUGAACCGUUAUAACCGGCGAUUUCCGAAUGGGGAAACCCAGUGUGAUUCGUCACACUAUCAUUAACUGAAUCCAUAGGUUAAUGAGGCGAACCGGGGGAACUGAAACAUCUAAGUACCCCGAGGAAAAGAAAUCAACCGAGAUUCCCCCAGUAGCGGCGAGCGAACGGGGAGNNNNNNNCACAUAUUGUGAGCUCGAUGAGUAGGGCGGGACACGUGGUAUCCUGUCUGAAUAUGGGGGGACCAUCCUCCAAGGCUAAAUACUCCUGACUGACCGAUAGUGAACCAGUACCGUGAGGGAAAGGCGAAAAGAACCCCGGCGAGGGGAGUGAAAAAGAACCUGAAACCGUGUACGUACAAGCAGUGGGAGCACGCUUAGGCGUGUGACUGCGUACCUUUUGUAUAAUGGGUCAGCGACUUAUAUUCUGUAGCAAGGUUAACCGAAUAGGGGAGCCGAAGGGAAACCGAGUCUUAACUGGGCGUUAAGUUGCAGGGUAUAGACCCGAAACCCGGUGAUCUAGCCAUGGGCAGGUUGAAGGUUGGGUAACACUAACUGGAGGACCGAACCGACUAAUGUUGAAAAAUUAGCGGAUGACUUGUGGCUGGGGGUGAAAGGCCAAUCAAACCGGGAGAUAGCUGGUUCUCCCCGAAAGCUAUUUAGGUAGCGCCUCGUGAAUUCAUCUCCGGGGGUAGAGCACUGUUUCGGCAAGGGGGUCAUCCCGACUUACCAACCCGAUGCAAACUGCGAAUACCGGAGAAUGUUAUCACGGGAGACACACGGCGGGUGCUAACGUCCGUCGUGAAGAGGGAAACAACCCAGACCGCCAGCUAAGGUCCCAAAGUCAUGGUUAAGUGGGAAACGAUGUGGGAAGGCCCAGACAGCCAGGAUGUUGGCUUAGAAGCAGCCAUCAUUUAAAGAAAGCGUAAUAGCUCACUGGUCGAGUCGGCCUGCGCGGAAGAUGUAACGGGGCUAAACCAUGCACCGAAGCUGCGGCAGCGACGCUUAUGCGUUGUUGGGUAGGGGAGCGUUCUGUAAGCCUGCGAAGGUGUGCUGUGAGGCAUGCUGGAGGUAUCAGAAGUGCGAAUGCUGACAUAAGUAACGAUAAAGCGGGUGAAAAGCCCGCUCGCCGGAAGACCAAGGGUUCCUGUCCAACGUUAAUCGGGGCAGGGUGAGUCGACCCCUAAGGCGAGGCCGAAAGGCGUAGUCGAUGGGAAACAGGUUAAUAUUCCUGUACUUGGUGUUACUGCGAAGGGGGGACGGAGAAGGCUAUGUUGGCCGGGCGACGGUUGUCCCGGUUUAAGCGUGUAGGCUGGUUUUCCAGGCAAAUCCGGAAAAUCAAGGCUGAGGCGUGAUGACGAGGCACUACGGUGCUGAAGCAACAAAUGCCCUGCUUCCAGGAAAAGCCUCUAAGCAUCAGGUAACAUCAAAUCGUACCCCAAACCGACACAGGUGGUCAGGUAGAGAAUACCAAGGCGCUUGAGAGAACUCGGGUGAAGGAACUAGGCAAAAUGGUGCCGUAACUUCGGGAGAAGGCACGCUGAUAUGUAGGUGAAGUCCCUUGCGGAUGGAGCUGAAAUCAGUCGAAGAUACCAGCUGGCUGCAACUGUUUAUUAAAAACACAGCACUGUGCAAACACGAAAGUGGACGUAUACGGUGUGACGCCUGCCCGGUGCCGGAAGGUUAAUUGAUGGGGUCAGCGCAAGCGAAGCUCUUGAUCGAAGCCCCGGUAAACGGCGGCCGUAACUAUAACGGUCCUAAGGUAGCGAAAUUCCUUGUCGGGUAAGUUCCGACCUGCACGAAUGGCGUAAUGAUGGCCAGGCUGUCUCCACCCGAGACUCAGUGAAAUUGAACUCGCUGUGAAGAUGCAGUGUACCCGCGGCAAGACGGAAAGACCCCGUGAACCUUUACUAUAGCUUGACACUGAACAUUGAGCCUUGAUGUGUAGGAUAGGUGGGAGGCUUUGAAGUGUGGACGCCAGUCUGCAUGGAGCCGGCCUUGAAAUACCACCCUUUAAUGUUUGAUGUUCUAACGUGGACCCGUGAUCCGGGUUGCGGACAGUGUCUGGUGGGUAGUUUGACUGGGGCGGUCUCCUCCUAAAGAGUAACGGAGGAGCACGAAGGUUGGCUAAUCCUGGUCGGACAUCAGGAGGUUAGUGCAAUGGCAUAAGCCAGCUUGACUGCGAGCGUGACGGCGCGAGCAGGUGCGAAAGCAGGUCAUAGUGAUCCGGUGGUUCUGAAUGGAAGGGCCAUCGCUCAACGGAUAAAAGGUACUCCGGGGAUAACAGGCUGAUACCGCCCAAGAGUUCAUAUCGACGGCGGUGUUUGGCACCUCGAUGUCGGCUCAUCACAUCCUGGGGCUGAAGUAGGUCCCAAGGGUAUGGCUGUUCGCCAUUUAAAGUGGUACGCGAGCUGGGUUUAGAACGUCGUGAGACAGUUCGGUCCCUAUCUGCCGUGGGCGCUGGAGAACUGAGGGGGGCUGCUCCUAGUACGAGAGGACCGGAGUGGACGCAUCACUGGUGUUCGGGUUGUCAUGCCAAUGGCACUGCCCGGUAGCUAAAUGCGGAAGAGAUAAGUGCUGAAAGCAUCUAAGCACGAAACUUGCCCCGAGAUGAGUUCUCCCUGACCCUUUAAGGGUCCUGAAGGAACGUUGAAGACGACGACGUUGAUAGGCCGGGUGUGUAAGCGCAGCGAUGCGUUGAGCUAACCGGUACUAAUGAACCGUGAGGCUUAACCUU
rnacentral:rRNA from 1 species